rnacentral:misc_RNA from 1 species
GUAGGUGAACCUGCGGAAGGAUCAUUAACACGUUAUCCACGUUAUCCACUCACCGGCCGUUUAUUCCUACAACGCUGCGUGUGUAAAAGCACGACGCGGACUUCUUGCCUAACGGCGAGUAACAAACACGUUCCAUCCUAAUUACCUUAGUUGUCUAUUUAUCUGUUGCCUGUAUGUGAGUAGUAACUCACUCACGUCUGUGCCGCACGUUUUUUAAUCGAACGUUAAAAAUACAACUCUUAGCAAUGGAUAUCUUGGUUCUC